rnacentral:tRNA from 1 species
UGGUAUAGCUGAGUGGCAUAGCGCCUGCCAGGCAAGUGCAGGUCCUGAGUUCAAUUCCCAGUACCA